rnacentral:rRNA from 1 species
UACGAAGGGGGCUAGCGUUGUUCGGAAUUACUGGGCGUAAAGCGCGCGUAGGCGGUGAUCUUUGUCAGAGGUGAAAGCCUGGGGCUCAACUCCAGAAUUGCCUUUGAAACGGGAUCGCUUGAGUCCGAGAGAGGAUGGCGGAAUUCCUAGUGUAGAGGUGAAAUUCGUAGAUAUUAGGAGAACACCGGUGGCGAAGGCGGCCAUCUGGCUCGGUACUGACGCUCAGGCGCGAAAGCGUGGGGAGCAAACAGGG